rnacentral:rRNA from 1 species
UACGAAGGGGGCUAGCGUUGCUCGGAAUUACUGGGCGUAAAGAGCGUGUAGGCGGCUUGUUAAGUCUUGCGUGAAAUCUCGGGGCUCAACCCCGAGCGGUCGUGAGAAACUGGCAGGCUAGAGUGCGGGAGAGGAGAGUGGAAUUCCUGGUGUAGCGGUGAAAUGCGCAGAUAUCAGGAAGAACACCCGUGGCGAAGGCGGCUCUCUGGAACGCAACUGACGCUGAGACGCGAAAGCGUGGGGAGCAAACAGG